AGCAGCCGCGGUAAUUCCAGCUCCAAUAGCGUAUAUUAAAGUUGCUGCAGUUAAAAAGCUCGUAGUUGAAUUUCGGGAUCAAUAUGUUGGUCGUGCCUCGGUACGUACUAGCUUAUUGGUUUCUCCCUUCUGACGAACCAUGAUGUCAUUUAUUUGGUGUUAUGAGGAAUCAGGACUGUUACUUUGAAAAAAUUGGAGUGUUUAAAGCAGGCUCACGCUUGAAUACAUUAGCAUGGAAUAAUGAAAUAGGACGUUUGAUUCUAUUUUGUUGGUUUCUAGGAUCGACGUAAUGAUUAAUAGGGAUAGUUGGGGGCAUUAGUAUUCAAUUGUCAGAGGUGAAAUUCUUGGAUUUAUUGAAGACUAACUACUGCGAAAGCAUUUGCCAAGGAUGUUUUCAUUAAUCAAGAACGAAAGUUAGGGGAUCGAAGACGAUCAGAUACCGUCGUAGUCUUAACCAUAAACUAUAGCCGACUAGGGAUCGGAUGAUGUUAAUUUUUUAAUGA
rnacentral:rRNA from 1 species